UAGGGAUACAAGCGCGUUCAGGAAAUUAUAUGGGUGAAGACCAAUAGACUUCAACGCAUUAUUCGAACUGGCCGCACUAGCCAUUGAGCAGGCAGGAGGAGGAAGCAGAGAGGGAGAGGGCGAGGAGAUCCUGGUCUGCACCUUGCGUCUCCCACAAGCUACUGCAACGGGAGAAUCGUAUACCCAAAAUCUUUCUCAAAGCCUACAGCUACUGCCUCCCCAAGCAAUGCCAACCUGCAGCAACAAGAUAAGCUACACUCUGUUUAUGUAUUACAUAUUUUAUUCAACUAUGCCCCUCUCUUUAAUCUUCCCAUUGUGAAUAGGUUAUAUGGUAAUAUAAAUAGCUGAUUUGAUAAUGGAAAAAUCUGAUUUGAUAAUAGAAAUAGCUGGUUUGAUACAAACAUAUUGCUAACUCCUUAGGUGUAAUGUUGUUUAAAAGAUGCCACAGUCAUAUUUUUUUUUUCAUGAGACAAACAUGUAUUUGUUUGUUUGUAGGGUUCAGAUUUUAAGAUCUCCGGUGGGCUUCUAUAGGAUUGGUAAAAGAGGAGGACCAGAGCUGACCAACUCUUCUCAAGGUCACCUUUCUACAACAAUGUGGACCAGACUAUUGUGAGAAUUUUUAGCAGAAUGAUUCUUGAUAUUAUGUUGGAUCAUGUUGGAAUUCCUAGAGCUAUUUAUCGGAGAAGGAUGUACCCGCAUAACACAAUGACUGUCACUGUGCUUUUCUACCGGAGAAAUGCACGCAUUUGAGUAUUUCUGUUAGCCAUCUUGGUUGAUUACAUCUGGUCAUUACAUUCUUCGGGAGGAGACCUUGUGUUGAGCAUGACACCCAGUCUGGCCAGCCUUGCAACUGCCAGCAACCCGAUUCAUCGAAUGUACGUUGAGCCAAGCAAUGGUCUUUGUUAUGAGGAGCCUGACUGCACCGAAUAUGAUGAGUUUCCUGGCUACUAUCCAUCUGACCAUGAGGACAACAAUAGUGAUUGCUUAUCUGAGCUUGAGCUGUGGUGAAUGCGACCGAUGUUUUGACCGCAUAAGAAGAUGAAGUUCUUUUCGUUUAUCGAGUAAUAUUAUCAUAGGUGGAUGUGAUGCCUCUAUAGAGGCGUUGUGAAUCAGUGUAGUAGCACACCACCCUAUCCUUAUUGUAAAUUAUGUGUGCUCAUCGCUAUGAGACAGUCCUUCGGAUGGAUUUACUAAUCCAUGGUUAUUGUA